rnacentral:rRNA from 1 species
UACGUAGGGUGCAAGCGUUUGUCCGGAAUUAUUGGGCGUAAAAGAGCUCGUAGGCGGUUUGUCGCGUCGGCUGUGAAAACCCGAGGCUCAACCUCGGGCCUGCAGUGGGUACGGGCAGACUAGAGUGCGGUAGGGGAGAUUGGAAUUCCUGGUGUAGCGGUGGAAUGCGCAGAUAUCAGGAGGAACACCAAUGGCGAAGGCAGAUCUCUGGGCCGUAACUGACGCUGAGGAGCGAAAGCAUGGGGGAGCGAACAGG